UACGUAGGGUGCGAGCGUUAAUCGGAAUACUGGGCGUAAAGCGUGCGCAGGCGGUGAUGUAAGACCGAUGUGAAAUCCCCGGGCUUAACCUGGGAACUGCAUUGGUGACUGCAUCGCUCGAGUAUGGCAGAGGGGGGUAGAAUUCCACGUGUAGCAGUGAAAUGCGUAGAGAUCCGGAGGAAGACCGGUGGCGAAGGCGGUCUGCUGGGCAGUUUCUGGACACUGAGGCGCGACAGCGUGGGGAGCAAACAGG
rnacentral:rRNA from 1 species